rnacentral:rRNA from 1 species
UGGGGAAUAUUGGGCAAUGGGGGAAACCCUGACCCAGCAACGCCGCGUGAAGGAAGAAGGCCCUCGGGUUGUAAACUUCUUUUACCAGGGACGAAGGACGUGACGGUACCUGGAGAAAAAGCAACGGCUAACUACGUGCCAGCAGCCGCGGUAAUACGUAGGUGGCGAGCGUUGUCCGGAAUUACUGGGUGUAAAGGGAGUGUAGGCGGGAGAGCAAGUCAGAAGUGAAAAUUAUGGGCUUAACCCAUAACCUGCUUUUGAAACUGUUUUUCUUGAGUGAAGUAGAGGCAAGCGGAAUUCCUAGUGUAGCGGUGAAAUGCGUAGAUAUUAGGAGGAACACCAGUGGCGAAGGCGGCUUGCUGGGCUUUUACUGACGCUGA